AGCGAACGCUGGCGGCGUGCUUAACACAUGCAAGUCGAGGGAGAACGGGUGGCUUCGGCUGCCCUAGUAAACCGGCGCACGGGUGAGUAACACGUAGGUAACCUACCCUCGAGACUGGGAGUAACCCACUCGAAAGAUGAGCUAAUACCAGAUAUGACCACGGGAGUUUCGGUCUUCUGCGGUGAAAGAUGGCCUCUGCUUGCAAGCUAUCACUCGGGGAGUGGGCCGU
rnacentral:rRNA from 1 species